AUGGAUUGUUUGGUCAAGAAUUGUCUUGGAUUUAAAACUAGCAAAAUGGAUAUGAUGAGCAUGCACACUACUAUUCGACUAAUCAAUUCAACCCAAGCUUAUGAAAGAUUCACUAAGAUAUUUCAGGCAGUUACAGUUUCCACGUACAAGGCGCAUAAUUUCUGUAAAGCUUUGUUGAAAGACCAAGAUCAAUAUCGUUGGAACUUCAUAACGGGUUUCCUAUCAGUGAAAUGUACGGCCUAUGACACUUUGGAAUGUCGCGGAAGGUUCAGAAUGAUGCAUUAUUGGAACAUAGUACAAAGGAAGAUUUUGUGGAACUAUGUCGCCCGUGCUAAACGGGGUGUUUGGUUCCAAAAUUUGGAAAUGGGAAUGGGCUGUAACGAGCGAUUCUCUGACUUGUUUACUUACAGUAAGGGAUGGUGA
rnacentral:rRNA from 1 species